GUGAGGAAUAUUGCGCAAUGGAGGCAACUCUGACGCAGCCAUGUCGCGUGCAGGAAGAAGGCGCUACGCGUUGUAAACUGCUUUUAACCGGGAAGAAACCCCAGGACGUGUCCUGGGUUGACGGUACCGGAGGAAUAAGCACCGGCUAACUUCGUGCCAGCAGCCGCGGUAAUACGAAGGGUGCAAGCGUUAUCCGGAUUCAUUGGGUUUAAAGGGUGCGUAGGCGGAGCGUUAAGUCAGUGGUGAAAUCCUGCAGCUUAACUGUAGACUUGCCAUUGAUACUGGCGCUCUUGAGUGCGCUUGAAGUGGGCGGAAUGUGCCGUGUAGCGGUGAAAUGCUUAGAUAUGGCACAGAACACCAAUUGCGAAGGCAGCUCACUAAGGCGAUACUGACGCUGAGGCACGAAAGCGUGGGGAUCGAACAGGAUUAGAUACCCUGGUAGUCC
rnacentral:rRNA from 1 species